rnacentral:rRNA from 1 species
AGCUCCAAUAGCGUAUACUAAAGUUGUUGCAGUUAAAAAGCUCGUAGUUGGAUUUCUGCGCGGAUGGGGCGCCCACUGUGAUAAAUCACGGGUUGGGCAGCAACAUCCACGCAUCCUGCCGCGAACCACGCUACCAUUAAUUUGGUGGCGUUUGGGGAUCGGCUCGUUUACUUUGAGAAAAUUUGAGUGUUCAAAGCAGGUAACUCGCCUUGAAAAUGUUAGCAUGGAAUAAUGAUAAAGGACUUUGGUUCUAUUUUGUUGGUGUUCGGAACCGAAGUAAUGAUUGAUAGGGACAGUUGGGGGCGUCUGUAUUCUGAAGCGAGAGGUGAAAUUCUUAGACCUUCGGAAGACAAACAGCUGCGAAAGCGUUCGCCAAGGAUGUUCCCU